GGAGGGAUGGCCGAGCGGCCGAAGGCGGCGGUCUUGAAAACCGCUGACCCGAAAGGGUCCGGGGGUUCGAAUCCCUCUCCCUCCGCCA
rnacentral:tRNA from 1 species